UUUGACAAUACCAGUUUAGAAUGGCUAUAAAGCUGCUCUGCCUUCUACAGCUUGCUGCACCACUCUGUAGUUACUUUAUAACUGUACAUUUCUACCUUUUUUGGUUAAACACUCCCUGACGA